rnacentral:rRNA from 1 species
CGUAGGGCGCAAGCGUUGUCCGGAAUUAUUGGGCGUAAAGAGCUCGUAGGCGGUUUGUCGCGUCUGCUGUGAAAGCCCGGGGCGUUAACCCCGGGUCGGUGCAGUGGGUACGGGGCAGACUUGAGUGCAGUAGGGGAGGACUGGAAUUCCUGGUGUAGCGGUGAAAUGCGCAGAUAUCAGGAGGAACACCGAUGGCGGAAGGCAGGUCUCUGGGCGUGUUACUUGACGCUGAGGAGCGAAAGCAUGGGGAGCGAACAGGAUU